UACAGAGGUCUCAAGCGUUGUUCGGAUUCAUUGGGCGUAAAGGGUGUGUAGGUGGCGCCGUAAGUCGGGUGUGAAAUUUCGGAGCUUAACUCCGAAACUGCAUUCGAUACUGCGGUGCUUGAGGACUGGAGAGGAGACUGGAAUUCAUGGCGUAGCAGUGAAAUGCGUAGAGAUCAUGAGGAAGACCAGUGGCGAAGGCGGGUCUCUGGGCCGAUACUGACGCUGAGGAGCGAAAGCGUGGGGAGCGAACAGG
rnacentral:rRNA from 1 species